GUCUUGAUAGCUUAAACUUAAAGCACCGGCUUUGUAAACCGGAGAUGGAAACCAUCCCCUCUAGACA
rnacentral:tRNA from 1 species